rnacentral:lncRNA from 1 species
UAAUAUAUAUCUGAAAUUAGCAGUUACGAGUGCACCAACAACGAAAGUCAUCCCUGCAUCUGCCGCUAACUAAAUGCUCUUUGUUCUUACAGUGAUCAUCACAGCUACCAGUUGUGAAACAUGGUCCCCUGUAUGUAUCAGCCAAAUUCUCACACCUCGCUGCUUCACUCACCGCUAUUUCUUCUGCAUAUAUAUAAUAUUAUUUAAAUAUAUAUUUCAUAAUAUAUACAAAUGCAGUAUAUAUGUAGUUAAUUAAUCUUACGUGCAACAAAGAGAACGAGGAAGAGGAAGCACAAGCCAGCUAGUGAUUUCUUGUCCAUGGCUUAGUGAUAUUGAAUAAUGUAACUUUUCACUUAUGUGUUAUGUGUGUGUUUGGUGUGGUUGAUAUAUUUGUUGAUCGUAACACACAUAUAUAUAGCCCCAAGGGGCUUGACUAGUAAGAGAAAUGAACAAAUAUUAUUAUUAAUCUGAAAAUGAAGUUUGAGAAGCUAGAAGAAACCACAAGAAACGGAUUGAUGUGGCAGCAUAUUUUAUUACCCAAGUUUGUAUUUUCAUGAUGAAAAGUCAAUAGUGUGGGGCGUGGAAGCUAGAGUGGAGCUUAUCAACAUAUAAUUAAUGCUAUAUAUGGAGACAGACAAAUAUAGUAUGCAACAAUUCAAUUUGAAUUCUCCAUUCGAUUUGUUUGUGAUAAUUAAUCAUGUAAUUUUCCCAAAAGUAAUCAAUAAAAUAAAUUCAAUAAUAUGCAUCUCAUAUAUAAAAGAGUAAUUAAACAAAAGUAGGGAAGGGAUAGGGGAGAGGUUUGGAGGAGGGGAGCACAUGAAAAAAUAGAGGAAUUUUUUUAAUCUUUUUUAAAGAGUCUUUUUUGUAGAAAAUAAUAAAUAAAUGUUUAUAAUUAACAUAUAUUUUUUAGUAUUUAGAGUAUAAUAAAACAGAUAUUUGGAUUUGAAAUUUUUAUUUAUUCUAAAGUAAUUUUGGAAUUCCUCAAAAUAAAGAGAUUUUGUAUUAUAAAAAAAAAUAAACUUCAAAGUAUUCUCCUUUCAAAACUCUUUAUUCAUUUCACUUCACUCUUCCUUUUUUUAAAUUUUAAAAGUCUUUUCAUUGCCUUUUAAGCUCUCAAACACAUCUUGAUAGCUCAUAGCUACUCCUAAUUAUCCUCUCUAUGUAUUGGUGAUUUGGUUUCGGAUAAUUAAUAUUACUAAUUUUGUUAAUGGGUUUAUUAACUAUACAUCUAUCAAGAGGUUAAUAACUAAAAGUUAACAAACGGCUCUAAUUUUUCUAGAGAGAUAAAUUUUACUAUGUCUUUAAGUUUUUUCUUCUUCUUCAGUCACUUAGAUAAUGGUGGUUGUAAGUAUUUUUAGAUCUGAAAUUAUUCAUAUGCUUCUUUUUUCUCUGUUACAAUCUAAAUAAGUGAUUCCAUACAUACCAUAUUUUUCUUUGUGUUUUUUUUUUCUUUGUGAUUUCGUCAUCUCAAAUCAGCGUUAUUUGUUUUUUCGUCUUGAUGCAUUGUUCCUUUGAUUUCUCGUCUUGUUCUAGUGUUCUUUUCAUUCAGAUUGAUAUAUCAACUUCGAUCAGUUAUUGAUUCAAUCAAUUACUAGGUUGUCAACAUUGUAGAUCUGAAGACAUGAACAUUUCGGUCACUUUGAUUUUGUCACAUUAUUAUUUGUAGACAUAAGUCGUUUUAUGUUAUUAACUUGGAUGUUGAGAGUAUGCUUGCACAUUCAAUUUUUUAGCAAUGUUGAAUAUGUUUUUGUAUUAGAUGUCCUCUACCAACUUGAAUGAAUGAAUAUAUAUUUUUUUUUUUGUGUAAAAACUAUACGUUAAUGCAAAAACAAUUUACAUAUACAUGUAGUUAUAAAAAAGAAUAUUGGAGUAGAUUCUUUAGUUUUGGUCUAUUUGCAAAGUUGGAUUGGAACCUAUCUAAUAAUGAUGUGGGCCUUGAGGUGUUGUUGUGGCUGCCUCAUGGAAAGAGCGUAACAAAUUUUUAUUAGUUCAAACUUCUAAGAUGGGGGAUAAAAUUUAGAAUUCAAUUAACCAUCAGGUUCAUAAUAUAGUUUCAGAUUGGUUUCUAGAGGAAUAAACAACUCAAGACGACAUCAAAUUUAGACUAUACAUGAAGAUUUUUUCAGACGUUUUAAAAAAAGCUCACUUCUAUGAGGGAAGUUUAGGCAAUUAUCUAUAACCUUAAAGUUGAUAUAUUCAACUAAACUACCACUAAGUUUUUAUCGAAUUUGACUCUAAAGUGACUAUUAACAUAAUUCAUUGUGACUAUAUCUCUAUUCAUCAUCUAUAGCCUCUUGCAUAAAUUACUACUAUUAUUCAUGCAUCUAUCAUUGACAAGUUGAAGUAGUGUUCUACUGAAGUUAAUAAAUAUGUAGAAUUCCUUACACAUAGAGUUUAUUAGGCUGAUUUUGAUAUUGUUACAUUAAAUUUGUCUAAUAUUAUCUGUAUGUAUGAGUCAAAUUCACCUAGUUUGAAUUCUUAAUAUAUUUCCCUAUUAAAGAAAUAAAUUAUAAUAUUUUACAUGGUGUGUCAUGUUAUAGUUAAUUAUGUAUCAUUAAUUAUAUUUUCUAAAAUAUUGCAUAUAUAAUAAGAAAUAUGUAUGAUUUUUUUUUUUUAUAAAAAUAAGAUACGUAUGAUUGAAUGAAUGUAUAAAUUUGUUUUAUAUACAUAUUGUAUGUGAUAAUUGAAUUCUUCGAUAGCUAUUACCAUCCAAAUUAUCAAAGCAAAUUAAUGAAGAAUAAGAUUAACUAAUGAAGAACUAUAUUAUUUUGUAGUGCUAGAACAACAUAAUUAAAUUUGAAGAUGUAUGACUGAGACAUUUGUUUUUUACAAAUGAUUUUGAAUCAUAUAUAAUUAACAAAAUAAUAGAUAUAUAUUCACUUGAAAAAAAAAGAUAGAUAUAUAAUCUAUAGAGAAAAAAAAAAAGAUAUACUUUUUCAAUAAAAAGAAGAAGAUAGAUAUGAGGAUCGUUGAAAGAGUGAUACAAAUUUUGCAAUUAAUUGACUACCACUUACAAAUUUAUUUAUUGUCAUAUAAGUGAAUUAUGGAUAAUUUCUUUAUCAUUUAAUAAAAAUUUACCAUAUAAAUAAAUGUUUAAAUGAUAUCUAGAAAUUUAUAUAUACAUCAUUCUAGAAAUUUAUAUAUACAUCAUUUAUAAAUUUAUUUUUGUGUCAUAUUUUCAUUAGAUAUAUAUUGAGUAAAUUAUCCACAAUAUUUUAAAGAUAAGAAAAAAAAAAUUCUUAUAUAAAUGGAUGCGGAUGUUGAAAAUUUUAUGAAGAGUUGUAAAGCUGGAAAUGGUUAGCCUAGACUAGUUUUGAAAGGUCAAGACAACUUUGAAAACUUACACUUGAAUGGGACAUGUCACAUGCAUUAUGCAUGUCAUAGUUUAUUUUUAAGACUUGAUCUAGUUACAUGCAUGUUAUAGUUUCAUUUUUAAGGUUUGAUAUAAUCUUUUCUUAAGACGGGCAUGAUUAAAAUAUCUGUUUAAAAUCUUAUCUCAUCAACACUAAUUUAAUUUUUUUAUAAAUAAUUUAACAAAUUAAUAAAUCAAUAAAAUUAAUUUUAAUUUGAGAUCUGAUUAAUGUCCUUUUAAAGAAUUUAAUUUUAAUUACAUAAUAUUAUAUUUAAAAUUUAUUUUAUAACUUUAUAUUUAAAUAUAUUUAAAAUUGACAUAUACCAAUAUUUUAAAAUUAAAAAAAUAUUAAUAAAUAUAUAAUUUAAUAUAAAAUUUAAAAUUUAAAAUGACAGCGUUAAUAAAAAAAAUAUUUCUUUAUAAACAUAAGAAGUAUAACUAAAUUUUAGCAUAAAAGUCUAUAUGUGAACUUUUUUUUGUUUUACAAAAUCUAUAUGUAAAUUUACAGUAGGCUUUUUUUUUCUUUUGGUUCUAUCAUAGAUUAUUUAUUUAUUUAUAGUAAGUAUUAUUAUAAUUAAUAAGAUUUUAAAUUUAGAAUAAAAUAUUGAAUCUAAAAAUAUCAACAUGUAUCAAUUGACUAUUUUAAAGAUAGUAUAUUAUUUUCUAAAAGUAUAGUGAACACAUGUAAUAGCUACUAGUACACUAGUAAGCUCCAAAGAAAAACGUGUAAUAAAAUUAAGCCUCGCAUACAACAAUUGUCAAAAUCAUAACACCGCUUAUAAUUUGUCUUCACUCAUUCCGAGUUUGGCAUCAUACCAAAGGGGAUAAUAAUAUGAUAAUUUUUUUGGCGUUUUGAGGUGCCGUAUACCCUUCAAAAAUUCAAUUCAAAUAUAUCUGCGGAUAAUAAAGGAGUCAAGGUCAAGGAUCAGUAGAGACUAGCACAAGAAUUUUAUUACCAGUCAGAUUACGUUUAAUUUGACCGAACUGCACUAUAUUAGUUAGAGGUAUUAAAAAAAUCAAAAAUUGAAUCAAGCUGUCGAACUGAACUGAAUUGAACUGGUUUUGAAUGACUGAUUUAUAAAAAAUUGAAAAUCUAACUGUUUUCUAAUUGAUUUUUUAAAACUAGAAUUGAACCGAAUCAGUUUUUAGUUCAAAAAAAAUGAACUGAAUUGGUUUUUAUUUCAAAAAACUUAAACCGAAUUUGUUUUUUUAGAAAUAAUUAGAGGUAAUUAUGUCAAAUUUGCAUAUACGAACAAAAAAACUAAGUUAAACUGGUUCGGUUUAGUUCAAAUUAAUAAACCGAUUCACCAAUUUAUAAAACAGUUCGAUUCGGUUUUUUAAACUAAAAACCGAUUUGGUUCAGUCUUUGCAAACUGAAAACCUGUUCAGUUCAAUUUUCAAACGUUCUAGUUCAGAACUAAAUUUUGUCCACCCCACGUAACUCUAAGUUAUAUUUAAAUUAUACUAUUUCUCAAAUUUAAAAAAGGUACAAAACUUAAACUUGAUUAUGAAUAAAUAGUUUUAAUACAAUCUUGCAUUGAACAUAGGUUAUAUGAGUUUAGUUAAUGUAGCCUAUUUGAGUGUAAUUAAAAAAAAACAGAGGUGAGAUUUGCACCAAUGUUUAUUUUAUCAAUGAUUUUAUGAUCUCUAUUCAAUGUAUUCUUAAAAAGUAGGUCAGUUGGUGUUAGAUCAAGCUAGUGUUUUGUGAUCUGUUAUCAAGUUGAACUGUUGAAGUAUUCCAUGUGCACCUUAAUAUGAGCUUCUCACUUUGUUGUUGUUCAUAAGAAAGGGAAAAACAUGGGCGUUGUAUGAUAGGUCCUAUUUUCACUGUAAUCUUACCAAAAUAUACAAUGAUAGACCAAAUAUUUCAAAUUCACUUAAAGGAUUGUUUGGUUUGGUGAUAUAAUAUGGAAUGACAUGAAAUCAUAUAUUACAAAGUUACUAGCUUGUUUGAAAUUCUCACGUCCCAAUGCCGUUUUUACUGGGAUUCUGGGUUCAUGAUGGGGGAAACUGUGAACAGGUGCUGCAGGAGAGUUAAUUUGAAUGAAAACUAUAGGUGUACACCUCUUCAAUCUCUGUCUUUACCACGGAGAAUUUGGAUGCCUUCUCAAGCUUUUUUUGGCUUACAGUAACAUUGACAUGUUAGGUUCUCUCGUUGAAGUCGAAAAAGUAAUGAAUGUGUUUCAUUUCAAGGGGAGGACAAUAACACCCAAUCAAUUGGUACUGUUUUAUACCAAAGGCUCCCUACAUAUCAAAAAAGGUGGAAAUAAAAAAAGAUGCCAAAGAUAUAAAAUUGACUUCAACUUGCUAAAAAUAUAAUGGCAAACUUAUGCAUCAUAUUGGAGACUAUAAUUAUCUAUAAAACACAAUAUGGAAGCAUCCCAUAACUAUACAGGAUCACAAAUGAUUAUUUAAGAAAGCAAAUCAUCCAAACAUGAGAUAAUUGGCUAGAUGAGAGGUAGCUAAUGGUAAAAAUGUCUUUACUUCAAGCUGAAGCCUUCUUUUUUUGCCAUCUCACAGGAAUUUUUCUAUACUUGAGGUCAAUGUUGCCUUGGGCACAGCACCGAUAAUUGCUUCUUUCUUUUCACCAUUCUUGAAGAAAACGACAGUUGGAAUACUUCGAAUACCAUACCGAGCAGCAGUUGUAGGACUCUCCUCGGUAUUGACUUUGUAACACUUGAGCUUACCCGCAUAUUCCUUUGCCAACUCGUCAAUUAUGGGAUGAAUCAUACGGCAAGGACCACACCAUGGAGCCCAGAAUUCGACCAACACAGGAACAUCAGAUUCGAGGACAAGGGAUUGCCAAUUUGCAUCAAUAAUAGAAACCACUGCAAUAUCCAAUAAAACAUAAAGUUUAAGUUUACUAAGUAUUUCGCCAUGAUAUGCAACAAUAUUCUGAAAACACGACGCAGAAGAUAGUUAGAACUUUUAUUCCAAGGUUUCAGCAAUACAAAAUCCUGAACUGCAAAACAUGCAAACCAGAUAAAUGAAGCAAAAAAUUGAAAAAUAUAAAUAGCAGCCCGGCCAGGCUCCCAUCACUUGCAGUCGGUAGAUGUACAAAGUCUUAACCAUACAAGCCGAGAGGUUGUUUCCAAGAAGUUAUUAGUUGUCAUAAUUUGCCGUUACUAUUCUCUCAAUGAUGGUGAAAACCAACAUUGUAAUUACUUCUAUAACCAGGUCAAAAUUAACAAGGUAAUAGCUAAAAUCUCCCUCCCCGAGAAGACAGGGAGCUCCUCUGAAGAUUGGCAUCAGACUGAUGAACAUUCAAUUUCCCCUUUACUUCCAAGAGUUCCAACUAUUAGAACUCUGAAACAUCUUCUUUGAAUCUCUCUCUCAAUGGAGGUGGGAUCAUCUUUACUAAAGGAAGAUUCAUUUCAUCAAUUUUGGAAUAAACUUCAUACCAUGCAACUACACUCAACACAAACUUCUUUUCUAUCCCGUAUAUGUCAGUUAUUACAGGACAAAUAGUCAUCCAGAGCAUCCAAAUUAGAAACGAUCUGCAAUUUGGUCCACCAAAGCCUUUACUCAGAGUAUGCAGCUCCCAAAAAACGAACCCAUUAGUCAACCCAAAAACUGCAUAACAUGCUUAUGUAUCUUUUUUUUAGCAAAAUAUUUAUAUUCAUCAACCAUUAUGAAGCUAGUGGAUGGGGUACUCCAACUCAAAUACAACAAGCCAUUUGAUGCUAUAACACGCCUAAAAUUCCACUAAGGCCAACAAAAUUACUCCCGAUAAAUACUUCUAAAGGAGCAACAUACGAUUCAUAGAUUCAUAGAUUCAUAAUACAAACAUGACCCAACAUUAGACUUAGCCAGAAACCAUUUCCACGAAGUAACCUUAAUAUUUCUACUGACAUUAACACAUCAGGGAAUUGAGUUAGAAACAUGCUUAGGUAUCUAAUCUUUGUAAAUCAUAUGCAUUCAAUUUUUUCUAUUUUUCCCAUGGUUAGCAACACCGCCUUAUGCGUGAUGUUCAAUGAGCUAAAUUCCCGAACCAAAUAUUGUGAAUUCAACCUAACAUUUUGACCAGACCAAAUAUUGUGAACCCACCCAGAUGUGUCUUGAUGAAGUUCUAUCCAAACUGGUUUAAUUUAAAAAAAUAUUUUUGAAGUGGGGCAUGUUUGAAACUAUGAACUGGUUUCGGGUGGUGUUUGCCAUGUCCCUUGAGUCGCUAGUUUGCAUGGCUCUUCCAGGAAAAAAUUGUCCGUCAUGUGGCAGCUCCGUGUGGAGUGAUACUAGUACAUGUGACUUCAGAUCAGUAAAAAGUGGGCACAAAGCUGCAUGACAACACCUCGUGAAAGGCAUUGGUCGACGUGGCUAUUUACAGUUAUUAUAGAGCUAGAGCAACGUAGAGUUGUAAAACCCAUGAGGCUCCAUGAUAAGAACCCAAUCUCUAUGUUUCCUGGGCACCCAUAACUGAGAGGCCUUUCCAUUUGUACACUUGAUAACCUAUUCUAGUCUCAUGACAGGAUCGAAAUAGAAAGGGACAGGAAAAGAGUUAGUUACAACUUACACGGGGAAGAAAGUGUUGGGAUUUGAUAUAUAGGUAGUAAAGCAAUAUUUUAGGGCACAUAUGUUUCCGCUUAUUGGCUUGGGCCAUUUCACUUUGGCUGAGAGCAUUUGCUCUUACUUUUCCAUGUAUUUUCUUUCACUUCCAUAUAGUGAUAAUACAAUUUCUCCAUUAAUUGAUAGGAUCCACCCUAUCAGUUAAUGAAAUUUCAAGUCUCAUUUUGAAUGUUUGCUUGCUAACAAAUUGACUGCUAGCAUAAUACACUAACACUGUAAAGUAAGUCCUGUUGGCAAUAGAAAUAUAAAUAUAAGUUGGUUAUAUAACAAUAAUAUUCAUAUAAACCAAGGUAAGCAGACAUGUAGUCAAAUGCUAGGAACCAAUCUAAGCCUAUGCUGGUGUACUAUAUAAAAUCAAAAGCUUUUAGGGUCGAAUUGAGAUGGAUCAUCGAGUUGAUCGGGUCGACCUGUAUCGAUGAACUACUUCAAACUACCCUUUCAGACAGUGUAUUAGAAAAUUCACCUAAAGAUUAACCUAAACACACCAAGCAAAAAAAGUUCAAAAUUGUUGCAACAAGCCAAUUAUUUUCGACGAAUUAUUACCAGAUCUAAAACAAAAUCUCAACAGCAAUUUUUUGGUUAACAAUUGAAACCUAACCUUCAACGGCAGUAUCUCGAGCCUCACAGACGACGCUACCGCCGCGACGAACGAGUCUAGAGGCGGAUUGACUCCGUAAACGAGUGGCGGCGAAGGGUCGGAGCUUGAGGCCGGUGUAGUGAGGUAACCUGACAGUGGUACGGCGGGAGGGGGGGGGGGGUUCGGGAGAGCGAAUGAGGGAAAAGGAUUGGAGUUGCACGGUAGCCAUGGAUGCAGAGAAUCGCAGCUCCAGAAAGAGUUAGUCAGUGAGAGAGACAAUCGGGGAAAUUAUUUUGUUUUUUGUUUUUUGUUUUUUGUUUUUCAGAAUAUUGUUGUUUUAAUUUGGAAGAUAAUAUUAUUUGCGUCAAGAAUAUGUGGUCGGGGAUGAAUCAAUGAAUUGCAAUUUGUAACUUGCUCCAUACAACAACAUUAGUGCUUAUUUUUUAAUUCACAUAUUCGAUUAAUUCAAUCAUAUCACACAAUUAGGUCAAAGAUCAGUCAAAUUAAAUUUCUAUGUAAAAAGUAUUGGAGUUCUAGAAUGCAGUUGUAAAUUCACACAGUUUGACGCAAUAAUGAAUCUUAGUCGUCAAUUUACGAUCCAACGACUCUAAAUAUACAGUAUCAAUUUCGGCAGUUUCACAUAGUAUUAGAUCCUGGUAUUUCAGUGAUUGGCAAAAUUAUAUAUAGAUAUCAGAGUGAAAGAAUCUUCACUUAUCAAUUUAGGGUCAUCUUGUUCUUCUGAAAGCAAUUUUGUCUGCGUCGCCGAUAUUGUUUGGGCGUUAAUUUUUCGAAACGGUGGAUGGUUGGACAUUAGUAUUUAGUACACCUUUGUCAAAUCAUGUUUUGGACCAUGUUCAAUUAUUUGGUGGAUUCUUUUUUAGAGUUAAAGUGCUACUUGAUAGACUCAUUGUUAUUUGACAUGUACAUGGUCUAUUUUAUAAAGCUUGAAAUGAGUUGAUUUUUAGUCAUCAUGAUGAUAUCGUUACUCAAUUGCUUCCAAACUAAUAUAUUGGUGGUUGCUUAAAUCGAAGGACCAAGAAUUCAAUGUUCAAUAAAACCAAUGGGUGGAUUCGCUCAUUGUAUUUUUGUUUGUAUCUUGUUCUUUUUCAAAACUUUUGGUUUAGUAUGGUUGAGAAUUUCAUAUUUGUAUCAAACUUUAUCUAUUUUUGGCAUACCUUAUGUUAGGUUAGUUGAUACUCUAAAAAUACGUUGAGUUCAAUUAAAAAAUCAAUUCCAAAUUAGAAGAAAAAAAUCCCCUACUAAAAAUAAUGCACACGGUUCAUAAAAUAUUAUAAAAAUGAUUACCAUGUUAAGAACAAAAAAGUUCAAACGUUAACAAAUUGUUCGGCAGUAAAUGAAAUAAUACAAAAUCUGCAAACUUUUGACUUGACUCACAAUUUGUAGGCAUUCCCAUUUAGUUCCCUUAUGGUAUACUGACACUUGGAAAUUUUGUUUCUGGUUUCCAGAGAAGCUUCAACAAAAUUGGCUUAUGACACUACAACGUAUAAAGAAAUUUUAAUAAAUUAUGGAUAUGAUUCUGAAUCCCCAUUAUGUUACACAGUGAAGGCACUCCUCUGUGGACAGGGGAAUAAAUAAAGCUCCCCUAGGGUCAUGUAAAUGUUGGCCUCAAAUUUGCCUUCUAAAAACCACUAAUCAACAAUGCCCAAGCAUUUGUCAGCAAGAUACCUCAGCUGCUGGACUCUGACCUAAUCUGUUUAACCCGUUUUUUCUUAUGUUUCUUAUGUACACCAUUUUCUGUCACAGAACCAUUCUCAUUAUUAUUGACCAUCCGAGAAUCCCCAUUUUCCUUUGGCUUCCCAUUCUCCUUAGAGGCAGAUUUUCUCUUUUUNNNNNNNNNNNNNNNNNNNNNNNNNNNNNNNNNNNNNNNNNNNNNNNNNNNNNNNNNNNNNNNNNNNNNNNNNNNNNNNNNNNNNNNNNNNNNNNNNNNNNNNNNNNNNNNNNNNNNNNNNNNNNNNNNNNNNNNNNNNNNNNNNNNNNNNNNNNNNGGUGCUAUCUCCACGUGGUAGUGGUUCUUCUUCAAAAUCUAACUGCCAAUUGCAUAACAUAUCUUGCUCUCCAUACUGCUGUUGUAUAGGCUCACCAGCACCAGGAAGCAAACUAUUAAAAGUCAUCUCGCCAUUAGACCCCCCUUUACGUUCCAUCAAGACAGGGUCUGGUCUAAUUAUAGUGCCAAGUAUGCUCCUGUUAGGUCCUAAGUUCAGGAUGACCUUGGGGUUUGUCAAAGUUGUGAAAGCCAUUAAAAAUGCCGACCUAACCUGCAAGAAUGGUAAAUAGAAUUGCAUUUGAGCCCAACUUGCACACAGAUGAACACUAAAUCCAUAUGAUAUCAUUUUGAUUUAAAACUAAAGGGGUUAAAGGCAGGAAAAAGAAAAGGAUAUAGGUCUCCCUUCAAAACAAUAUGCAAAAGGGACAAAGAACUGGAUUGGAAAAAAUUAGAAGCAAACUCAGGACAGAAAUUAUUUAGCACUAAUCAUUAAAAUUUUCUAAACAAGUGGGUAGCAAAUUUUCUAAUCAGUAUUCUUCCACAGCAGAGGGAACUAGGCAAACAGGAAACACAAUGCAACAGUUAAAUCAAAUACACUACUGCAUUGGUAUCUCUAAACUUUAAGCCAUAGGACAUUUUCUGGAAUAUUAUCAUAAAUAUCAUUUACUAGCGGAUAAAAACAAACCUGGAAGUAAUUGAAGGAGUUCUUCCCAAUGUCAUUAUCUGGAGUCUGAUUCAGCCAGAAGAAAAUUCUAGUCAAUAAUGAUAUAAAUUUAUCUUAAUGCACAAAUAAAUAGGAGUCAAGUACCCCCCAUUUCUGUUCACUACUCAUUUUAUUUCUUGCCUUCUUAGUAGGCAAAUACCCCUCUAUUCCCAAUUUUAAUCUAUAUUUUCAUAAAUUAUUCAGCAUUAGCUCUCAAAAUUUACACAAAUCAUGACUUUGGAAAUGGAAAUACUGACUCAACAUUCAUCGCUUCUGCUAAGUGGAGGGAUCAACAAAGGACAUAAAAAAGUGCAGCAUAGAGAGGGUUGAAUGAGAGAAAAUUAUCAAAUAUCUCAUCCAACAUUAAUGAAAACAAAAGAGGGAUCCAGGGAAAGCUCGAAAAUACAACUAAGUAGCCCACUGAAUCCACUAUGCAUCAGAAGUUGAGGCUCCAAUAAAACAAACAAAACCAGAAUAAAUAUAUACAUUAAUAAGAAAGCUCCUAGUCCAGAAUUCAGAUAAUCUUUUAAAUGAUUAAUGCAAAUAAAAGCUGGAGGAAACACUUGAAAGUCCAUCUUUAUAAAAAUGACCACUUUCAUGCUUUAUUAAUAGGCCAAGCAAUAAAAAAAUUACUUUGCAAUGACAAAUAGCAGUUAAUCAAAGNNNNNNNNNNNNNNNNNNNNNNNNNNNNNNNNNNNNNNNNNNNNNNNNNNNNNNNNNNNNNNNNNNNNNNNNNNNNNNNNNNNNNNNNNNNNNNNNNNNNNNNNNNNNNNNNNNNNNNNNNNNNNNNNNNNNNNNUGCCGAGAAGACUGGGUCGUGCUUUGUUGUAAAACCUGAGAGAAGAAUGAGAAAAAUCAAUAACUUUUCAAUUAUACAGAAUAAUUAAGAAUCACAUUUCUUUGCAAAUAUAUUCAAUGCCUUACCCUCUACUACUCUUUAGGAAGAAGGUUCCUGCUCCAUUACAAGACACACCAACAUCUGAGGUAUUCAAUUUACGUCCAUAAAAAUCGAAAAAGUGUACCUAAUUUCCAAAAGAAAAAUAACAAACACAUUAGCAAAAACAAUGUAUAUAUAUAUAUAUACACAAAUAUUACUUUACCCAAAUAGGAGACAUCCAAUUUUGAUAUGUACGCAUUUUCUCUUUUUAAACCAUUAAAAUAAUAAAAACAAUAUAACAUGCCAAUCAUGGACUCUUAAGAGUCUAAGCUACAUGGAACUUAAGAAACAAAUAUGUAAAACUGUUGUUCAGAAGAUACGCACCAAAAGGACCCCUAAGUUGUGCUCGGCAGAAGUUUGGCUCUGACGAACAUUCUGAAGCAUAUAAUGGUCACAAAAUUAGAGAUUUCAUAGGUGAAAAAAGUGUGAUGCACUUUAUGCAAUGCCAAUGGCAAAUAUUAUAGCACAUUAGAAAAAGAAAAAGUGAAUUAUAUGAUCCAUUUUUGUUGAUAUGUAGAUGGAUCAUAUGUAGAAUAGGGAAUGAUGAAGCCUGGCAACUAAAUAAAGUGAACUGCAUAAACACAUUUAAGAAUCACUUACCCGUAACACUGCCAUCAGCAUGGUAAGGAGAGCAUAAGAACCAAUCCCACCUGAAUAUACCUGCAUACUUUACAAGAAUCUUCCUUUAGACAGACAGGAGCCGAGAUAAUUGCAAAAAAUGUAAGAAAAACUCAUACCUCAUUCAGUUCUCUUUGUUGUAAAAAUACUUUCAAUAUCAAACACAACGGCCGUAGUGGUGGACAAUUAGCCACUGCUUCCUGCAAAUUCAAUGGUUCAACCAUGAAGAAGAAUAUACAUAAAGUCCAAUCCAACAGUGAAUUCUCAUGAGAUUAUGUUUUGUUGUUUACUUUUUUAUUUAUUCAAAAAAAAUGGGUAACAUACUAACCACUAGGGAGCUCACAUUCAAGACUUGAAAACAAAAAUAAUAGAAUAUUGAAUGAAGCAAUUCAAAUACCACAUAAGCUAGUAAUUUGAUCCUACCAGGGGAAAAGGAUGAAACAGUGGGGUUAUUAUAUGCUUCCAAGAUGUUGUAUUUACUUAUGUAAUUAAAGAUCAACUUGGUAUCACCUCAAUCAAUAUGACACGGUUCAUAAUAUAACUUAAACCACGUAUCUGUGUAAGAACUUCAUACAAACAUUUGCUUCCAUUAUUUAUUUACUAGAGAAUUUCAAACAAACAUUUUCAUACAAAUCUAUGUAUUAGAAUUAGAAUUUCAUACAAUCACUUCAAUUUUUUAUUUACAGGGAAAUUUCAACAAUUCCUAAAUAGUUUGUAAGAAGGUCAAAAAGUAUAUAUUACUUUUCAUUCACGCACUUCUAAAAGCAAAAUUUAAAAUUAGAAAAUGCAUCUUGAAACUAUGUAGUGGAAAGAGUAGUGCUAUUUGGUAUGACUGAUUUGCACAAGAAAGGGAAGAAAGCAUAAAAAUAGGGGUUUGGACUUAUAAGCAAUCGGCUGACCAUACAUGCGAGAGUGGGUAGUUAUUAUUUAUAAGUGUUAGAUGUUGCCACAUAUUAUUCUUCUCUUUCUUGCAAACAUCUCUAGUAACAAUCAGCAUUUCCCGUAGUGGAAAUAAUAAAAACAAACCUGAAUAUACUCAGCAGCCUUGGGUCCAUUCUCUAUGUCAAAACUGUGGGAGAAAAACAUAUUUCCGCAAUGGAUCAGUGAUAUUAAGUUUUUGAAAAAGAAAACAAAAAAUCAUAAUACUGAAAUUGGUUAAAAUGGUUUAUAUGCACACAAUUUUGAGCAAGAAUCGUAGAAUACAAUAGUCCAAUAUAGAGACAUGUGAUGUGACAACCAUGCAUCAAGUAUUAGUAAACAAAGAAUAAUGUAAUUGUAACUUGUCAGAAUUGGUAAUGACCGCUAACGUUAAAAAUUAAUGGUAUGGAAAUAAAUAGUGUGAUUAUGUUAAUAUAACCUAGGUCGUAUAAGCAUUUACCUACAUGAAAAGAAAAUUAAAUGCUGGACAAAGAAAAAAAAAAUGGCAUCCAAAUGGAAAUAUAAAAAACACAGUAUAUUAAGCAGAAUUUUGAUGUACACCAAUGAAAAAUUAACAAACAAGAAGCAUAAAAAAACUUCAUAUGGUGCCACAUUAUAUACCAUGUCAAAGAAAUUCUCCCACGAUCUAUAUAGCAUAUUGUAUUGCAAAAUAGCCCCAUUCCCCAAAACGCGGACGACAAAAUAAAAGCAAUCAUAAAUUUUCCAGAAGUUUUAACUAGGAGUUUAUGCAAAUAUAUGGAAAAUCAUAAAAAUUUCAACAAAGAGGUGCAAGUUAAAUCACUCAAAAAACAUAAAACAUCUAAUAGCAUAUACAAUAACCUGACCAGUAAGCUAUUAAUGAUGACACACGAACAUUAUUAAUGAUGACAUAUAACAAUCAAGAAGAAAAAAAAGUUAAACAACAAAUCUAGCAAUCCAAAAUCAAAGAGGAGAGAAUGUUGAGACUGUUGUCGAACCUUAUAUCGAAGGAAAGACUGCUCGUCUUUUCAACGAAUUUAAUAAUUGGCACACGAGCCUUUCCAAUAACCUAAGAAAGAUUCACAAACAAAACACAAGACACUUUAAAUUUCACAUAACACUUUUUAUGGGCAACUAAAAGUCUAAAACACUGAUAUUUGAGCAACCAAACCAGACCUGUAUCUUUUUAGCCAUGCUCCUUUGAGACAAUGCUCUAGAAAUUGCAUUCAAACCAAUCUGCGGAUUUGGUAAGCCUGAUCUCAAAAUCACAACCUGCAGUCAAUAGAUUUGAUAGUAGCGUAUCUAUUCAGUCAACCAUUACCAACCACAUGUACUCGUUCAUAUAAAAGGUUGAGCUCAGCAUCAGGAUAACUUACAUCGAUAUCACUAGUUGGAAGAUACAACCCUGUCCUGAAAGACCCAAAAACUUCAACCUAAAAGGAACAAAAUCACAUAUUGAUUGAAACAUAAAAAUCUUGGGGAAAAAAAGGAUAAAGGGAUAUGCAAUAGGGCCCUGUUUGGAUUAACUUAUUUGAAUCUAUCUAUUUACAUAAGCACUAGUGUGACUCUUUGGAAAAGCUUCUCAAAACAGCUUAUGGCAUGUUCACUAUUAUAUGAUUAGCUGCUUAUGCUAUAAAUGCUUAAUCAAGCCCUUUAUCCGAACAGGGUCUUAACUAAAUGAUAAUUGGUAACAAACAAUACCUGGCAGUGAGGCCAUAUAUGUUUUAUAACAGCAAACACAGAUUCUAUUGCCGUGUCACGUUUAGCUUUCUCUUCAGGAGUAGGUGACAAAAAUUCACAAAAAUCCACUAUCUCUGCACACAAAACAUCAAAGUAUAAUUUUUAUUAGAAAAAUAUAAAAAUAAAAAUAAAAAAGGUUUCAGCUAAACACGCAUGCACCAAAACAAAACCCAAUGGGUUCAGUUCAGUUCAGUACCUUUAUGGAGCUGAAGCAUGGGGCUUCUGAAUUUACAAUUCCCACGAAACCAACCGCUCUCUAACGUCGGCUCAGGCGCAAGAGCUGGCGUCUUCGGCUCAGCCGGCGUGACAGGCUCGGGGAUGGGGUCUUCGGCUUCGCCUUCGUCAGCGACAUCGAGGGAGAAGAAAUCAGGGGCGGUGGAAUAAACGGAAUCGCAUUGGGGUGUGUCGAGAGAAAUUACGUUGCGAAAAACGGAGCAUUGAUCGUGGUUGUCAGAAUCUGGGAAAUCGUCGGCGGUGAGUGAAAGUGGAGUGGUAGUGGUGUAGACGAUGGUUUCCGGAAUCGGCAGAUUCUCUUGCUGAACCUCCAUUGAAAAGCAAGGAGGUGGAGAAGUAGAAGAGUGGAGAAGGUUUAUGAAAUUGGUGGGAUUUUAAAUUAGGGUUUAUGUUGUGGCGCGGUGGCGCAAUCUAAGGUUAUGUUAUGUUAUCAGAAUCACAGUUAAUCGGCUACAGAGGAUAACUGGUUCCGAAUAAUAAUAAUAAUACAGUAACAUAUCUAUGUGGUUACUAUAUCUUUUUUCUGGCGAUGGUUAAAGAAAAUCUAUAAAAAUUCACUUUUAAAAAAAAGUUUUAACGACUAAUAAAAUAGGAAUUGAUUACGAAUAGAAAAUAUUUGAUUCUAAUUUUUUUUAAUAUUUAUUAGUAAUAAAAAUUUAUUUCCUAUUUUUUAAUAUAUUAAUUGUAAAUAUUUUUUAUUUAUUUUAUUUUUUAUGUAUUAAUUAUAAAUAUUUAUCCAGUAUUUUUAAAUGUUUAUCAAAGAUAAAUAUAUAUUUCAUGAUUUUUUUACUAUUAAUAAAUAUUUGUUCGGUAUUAUUUUAUAUUUAUUAUUAAUAAAUAUUUAUUAUUAAUAAAUAUUUAAUAUAUAAUUUUUAUGCAUAAGUUAUAAAUAUGUCUCUCUUGUUCUUUAUGUAUUAGAUAUAAAUAUUUAUCCAAUAUUUUUUAUGUAUCAACAAUAAAUAUUAGUCCUCGUGAUUUUAUAUAUUUAUUAUGUAUUUUUAUAUAUUAAUAAUAAAUAUUUUUUUCAUAAUUUUUAUAUUUAUCAUUGACAAAUAUUUGUCGCGUACUUUUAAUACAUCGACGAAAAAUAUUUGUCUCGUAAUUUUGUUAUUUGUUAUUCACAAAUAUUUGUCUCUAUUUUUUCAUGUAUUAUUUAUAAAUAUUUAUCUCUUGUUUUUUAAAUAUUUAUUAGUAAUAAAUAUUUAUCUCGUAUUUUUUUAUGCAUCAGUAAUAAAUACUUGUUCAAUAAAUUUUUAAAUUUAUUAUUCAUAAAUAUUUAUCUCGUAUAUUUUACACAUCUAUAAAUAUUUAUUAAUAAUAAAUAUUUAUUUCAUAUUUUUAAUUUGUUCAUAAUGUGGUAAAAUAUGAAAUAUGGGUGAGAAAACUAUUGUGUCAUUAUUUUUAAUUAUUUUUGUGAACUUUAAUGAUGUUUUUUUUUAUGCGUGUGUUAGUUGUUAGGUGAGAGAAAUAAAUAAAGGUGACUAAUCUACAUGUAAAGGAAAGUGAUUGUAGUAUUUUUUAGAAAAAUUAAAAAUACAAAUUAUUAUAUGAUCUAAUAACAUCUUUAGUGGCUUGUUUAUAGAAAAAUAAUGUAUAAAAAUAAUGAAUAUUAAAUUUAUAGUUAAAGUGUUAUAAUCAUUUUUAUUUUUAUAUAAAAUAUAUUAAAAACAUUAAUUUUAAUUAAUUAAUGACAAUCAGUUGUGCACGUAUGAUUUUUUAAUGAUUAGUUAGAAAUAUAUAUUCCGUAUAUGAAUUAUAUACUCCAAUAAAAUAUUUAAUAAUUAAUUUUUAAGAAAAAUAAUGUGAAAAAAUUGAUGUAUCAAUUAUAGUUAAAAUAUUAUUAACAUAUUUUUAUGUAGUUAAUAUUUAAAAAAUAUUGAUUUUAACAAAAAAAUGUUACUGAAUUAUUUGUAAUAAAAUAUGAUUAGCCAUAUAUUAUAUUUAUUAUUAUUUUUAUUUUAAAAAUAUAAAAAUUUAGUUAAUUAAUCUGUAUUAUCAAUUUUUUUAGUGACUAAUUUAUAGAAAAACAAUAUAAAAAAAUGAAAUAUAAAAAAGUAAAAUAUUAUUUUUAUUUUUUAUGUCGACAAUAUUAAAAAAAAUCACCAAAUUUUAAUUAAUUUGACAAUCAACUUGUUAGUGUCUAAGUUAAUUUUUUUUGUCAGUAAUCUUUUGAGUGUUCACGGUAAUGCAAUUUUUUUUAAUAUAGUUUUUCUAACACAGUGUUUUUCUACCUAUAUAUUAAUAUACCCUUUCUCCUUUCAGAGUUAGAUAUAGGGAUAGCAUACAAAAUUCGAUUUAAUCUAUUAUCUUGUUUUUGACUUGAAAGAUUUGAAACAGGUCUAUCUCUAAACCACAAAAAUAAAGACAUAAAUGGAUCACGACACAGACACUAAAUUAAAAUAGAAAUCGAGUUCACGUCGACUAUUGGAUUACUCAUUCCAUCUCAAAAGUUUUAAUAUAAAAUGUUAUUUUUUCCUCAUUAGUUUUAUAUUUUGUUAUAUUGAUUUUUUUGUAGACUCACUUAUAAUUUUAUAUACGGUUGUUAAAAUAAUAUUGGGAUCUGCAAUAAUAAUUAAUCAACAAAACAGAAAAAACAAACAAUUGUAGAGAAAAAACGAAAAAUGUUAUUGGUUUUCUGCUGAAAAUGGAGAAUGUUCUGAAAAUCAUCUAUUUCCCUCUAUUUCUCACAGUCAUCGCGGCUACAACAACAUACAAGCUGCAGCAAUAUUACAGCUUUAUUUAUAGUAUAUAAAAGCAAAUAAGUUUUAAUAAGUAUAACUAUCUUGUUAUAACUAACUUGGUCAAAACCAACUUUAUUUAGAUGAUGUGAGGCACAUAUUUACACAUAGAGUAUCCAUUUUCUACCACUUCAUUUCUACAUUUUAAGAACUGGUGUUAUGUUCAAAAUGGAUUGAGUUAAACUUUAUUCAAUCUCAUGAUUUUAUUACUCAAUUAAAUUAUUUUUUUCCAAAUAAAAUAUGCAUGUUAUAUUAUUUGGUAAUUAACUUUUUAAUUGUAUUAUUCAACUAAUUAAUUUUUUAAUCGAUUAAUUUUACUUGUUGAUUAAUUUUUUUUUCAAAGAAAAUAUUUAUGGAUUGUUUAAUAACUUAUCAUAGGACCAAUUUGAUCUUAUCUUUAUAUUGUCAUGGACUUAUUAAAUCUACCUUAUCCAGUUUAGUCGGGCUUAAGGCCAGGUUCAAGUUUAAAAAAUUAACUCAAUCUAAUAUUAUGGUCGGACAAAGGACACGUAAUUCAGCUUAACCCAUAAAAAGAAAUAGUGUAGUUAAGAAUAAGUUGAGCAGAGUUCUUAGUGUUCUUAAGAUAAUGUUUUUAAUUAUGAUCGGGUAUCUUAAAUACUAUACAUUUUUUUUACAUAUUACCCAUAAAUUCAAUUUUAGUUAUAAUACAAAUAUUAUUUGGACGAUAAUUUUUAAACAUUUGUAUUUCAUAACUGUGAUACAAUAUAUCGCUUUUGUAUGAGUCAAUAUCAUUUGUUAGCACCACUUUAAAUUAAUCUUUGUUCGUUGUAGCACUGAAUACUAAUCAGAUAUUAAAAUUAAUUUUGUGAGAUGAUUCGAUUUUUCUCAUUGUAAUAAUUUUUUUUAUAGGAUCAACUAUAAACAGUUUUUUUUUCUUCAAAACUCUACCAUGCUUCUUAACAUUUUUUUCUUCUAAAUUUAGAACAAUAAUUUUAGAGAUUUUAUAUUAGUCUUUACCUAAAAUCAAACUAUUCAAAGCAACAUCUAGGUUUUUCAUUAGAUAGUUUUUAAAACAAAUAUUUUGAGAGAGAUAAAAUUGCCACAUGUUUUUUAAUUAAAGGAACUGAAUCGUUAUUAUUUGGCAAAUUUAAUAAACUAAAUUACAAUUAAAAUUUGUAUAUAUAACCAAAAUACUCGUUUGGUAACCUAAAGAUAAGGUUUCUGUUUAGAAAUACAAGUUACAAUCCACCCCCAUAAAAAACGGUCAUGUAGGAUAUACAUGCAUUCCACUAUCCCCAACAGUUUUGGAUUAAGUUUCAUACCUAUCUUUAGUCCAUAAUUACAAUGCACAGCCUAUAUACACUGUAUAUUCUUGAAACAUAUUAGUUCAUGAUGUCACCUAUUUAAAACACACAACACAAAAUCUCAUAAACAUCAUAAACAAAUUGUCACACACUCAACUUUCAUUCAUUCGCCAAUUCAAUUUACAAAAAAAAAAAAAAAAAAUAUGGCAGAGGUCACAGAAUCCUCAAACAAACAAUUUGAUGGUUUGAUGCACAUGUAUGUGUAUGUCAUAACAUUUGAUCUUCCAACAUUUGCAAUUGUUUGUAUCAUAAUCACAAUGUUACUCUUCAUAUUCCAUCAAAUUUUCCAAGGUUUAUUCUAUUGGCUCAUAGAAAUGAGACCUAUCAACAUUGACCAUGACAUUGAACAAGGAACUCGUGAUCUAGCUUAUAAUAACGACGACGGACAUGUUUCUCGUCGACGAGUUACCGUCUUUCAUGCUGUAGUUUUCAGCAAUUUUCAGGCAUGGACAAUGGUGGCUUCAAUUGAUGAAAAAAGAGGACAAAAACUUAGAGCUUCUAAGAAAUUGCCACCUUUGAUGAGCUAUGGAGUUGGAAGAAAUGAUGAUGAGUUAAGAAGAAGUUGCAAUGAAUGUGCCAUUUGUUUGGAAGAUUUUCAAGAGAGGCAAUUGUGUCAAGUUUUUCCUGUUUGCAAGCACAUUUUUCAUUCAGAUUGUAGUGAUCAUUGGUUGCAGAAGAAAUCAACUUGCCCAAUAUGUCGUAAUUGUAUAGAUUAAUUGUUGUAAUUUCAAAACUGUAUAGAUCUGUAUAUAUAUAAGGUUGUACAAAUUAAGGCUUGGUAUUAUAUUAUUAAUGUGUAGCAGUGUAGCUAGCUUCCAAUACAAGCAAUUAAUUUUAUAUUUUUUCAUAUUUUGUUUUCGUCAAUAGACACUUAUUACGGUUCAUUAAUUAAAUAUUUUUUUAAUCUCUAUACCUUCUUUUCUAAAAACAUCCAGCUUUAUAACUUGUAGGACUAAAAAUAAAAUUUAAGAUAGAUAAAAUAUAUGUUUCUGAGAAACCAAUGUUUUAUGAAUAAACUAUAUAGUUGGGAGAUAUGAAGAUAACAAAUACGACUAGCUUGAGUCUAUUGCCGCCUGCCAGCUUAGCCUGAUAACAUUUUUCUAAUUGAGGAUUUUCUACAACUAGGCACCUAUAUUUGGAAUUUACUAAUUGCAAGUGUAACCAAUGUUAUGAUCAAAUUAUUAUCUCUCUCUCCAUCAACAAAUUUGAAGAGAUUUGGCAUUUAACCCACUAAGUUACAACUUCCUUAACAAAAUUAAAAAAAAAAAAAACAGAUAAACAAUUAAGUAAUCCAAGGUAGCCAAAAGUUGUUUCUUAACUCAUUGAACAUAGGUGCAGUUUCUCAGGCGUUUGGUCCACACAAGCUGCCCCUGAUUCUUCUCUUACAUUAAAUGUUUUAUUGUUAAUGCUUCAAAUGUGACUUUAAUCUAGUUCCUAUAUCUUCACACCUUCACACAUCAACAUUGAUAAUAAUUUAAGAAAAUAGAAGUGAUUGAAUUAAAUCACAUGCAUUAGUUUCUUGUCGGUAUCAAAUACUGACUCAUGUCGCACGCUGGUUUUCAAUCUAAAAUGUUGAUACUACACAUCGCAUAUUAGACAUAUUUUUAAUAUGAAGUGUCAAUACUAUAGUUUGUUUGUAAGGGGAAAAAGGAGAAGGUAUGGCUAAGACAACAAGUGAAUAAAAAAGGAAUCAGAAGAAGAUCUGACUGCAAGUAUACACUAUCUUGAUUGGAAUUAGAAGUUGAAAAAUUGAAACAAAGCAUUUUCAAAUUGAGUUUUUUUCGGUGGUACUAUUGUAAAAGGAGUUUCAAAAAAUUAACUGGUUUUCUAAUAGCAAAAAACUUUUUCCAAUAACUCUUUUAACUAUAAUCCCUAGAUUUAUAAUCAUCAACCAGUUCUUUCAUCUAUAAAAGCACUCACACUAAGCCUAUAUUCACCUUCAAAUUUUAUUUUGCAAAGGCCAUAUCAUAUAUAUAUAUCAGCAACACAAAUUCAAAGCAAAAAUAUAAGGUAUGACUAUAUACUAAUACAUCAUUCAUAAGGCCAUUUGGAUUUGAUCUUCAAAAAGUGCAAUUUAUGAGUAGCUAUCUAUAUUUCUGCUUCUGAUUCAGUCACCAUAGACACCUUUUCAUAUACCUUUGACCCUCUAAAUCUAUGAGGCAGAACAAAGUUAGCACCAAACCUUUGCUGCAAGUAGAUGAUGAUAGCAAACAGAAUACCCCCCAAAGGAAUGACAAUAUCCCAAGUAGUUGAGUAAAAAUCUGCAUUCGGAUCAGCAUAGAAAUACGAUCCAUCGCUGAGACGAGCGUAAUUACGAGUCCGGUAAAGAUCAUAGGCGUGUGGUAAGAGUCUCACAAAAGUAGUUCCAAAGUAAAAUGAACAUGAAAGAACAUUCUCCUUCAUAUUUGAAACCAAAUUUAGGAUUACUUGUGGCAAAAGAAAGCCAUCCAAUACCAAACCACCAUAAGACUUUAUGCUUUCCCAAGAUGAAUCAUGUUGAUGGUAAACUGAAGUAACAGUAUAUCCAUCCUUUUUCAACUUCAACAGCAAUGCAAUCAAAAGUCCGGCUGCAUACAACGGGAAAGUCACAUAGGUAGCCUUUCUCUCAGCAAUCCAGAGUCUCUUCUCGCUUUCGUUAGUCUUUCUUGAUGACCAAGUUAGUUGAAGGAGACGGAAUUGCAACAAGAAAGCUACCAUGGUGAUUAGCCUAACAGUUAUUUCAUUAACUUCAAGCCAUCCAACAUAUCCAAACACAAAGUUUUUGUUGUUAGGAUUUUGAGCAAGAAGUGCUUCAAAAUUGAGAACAAGUGGUAUCAUGUGAUUCAAUGUGAGAAUUGACAUCAUGAUAAUUGAGAUGAAAGGAAGCACAUUAGGGUGUUUUUUCACAUGGUACAGUUGCAAUCCAACAAAAAAACAUGUUAGAGUUGUAGAUAUUAGAACCAUGAUAAUCUCCAUAUCCAUUCUCCAAACAGCUUUUUUAGCAGUUUCUGAGUAAAUUGCUGCCGAAGAUAGCUCUAAACUUUUGAAGUAAAGAGGAUCUGAUUUUUUGCGCGUGCUUUCGAUACUUCCUUUAAUGUAGCUUCCACCUUUUGUAUCUAAUGAUGGAAACUGAAACUUCACAAGAAUCUCACAAUCCACAGAGCCAGCUAUUGGUGUUCCAAUGUUCAAGGGAAGAUCACGGCAGCCUAUCAUACACAAGAAUCCUGUUCUAGCAUCAUAAACUCCUUCUGCAGAAAUUUUUACUCUGUAAGAGGACAGAUUAAACACUGAAUUCCUUUCAUCUAAGGUUGAAUUAGCAUAGAUGGCAAUUUUGUAACUGAUGUUAAACAAGCUAGUACCAUCGUCGACGAUUACCGAAGGACUAGGAGGUUCUGCUGUGAAGUUUGACAUAGAAUCAAGUUCAUAGACCUGAUCACCAACCGAUAAAGGAGACGAAUAACCCCAUGCUACUCUCCUAUUCGAUUCUCGAACCAACAUAUCGAAUCUCAUAUCAUAAGAAUACACAUAAGGAAAUCUUCUCCCUUUGUUCUUGACAGGCUUGUGUGUUGGACAUGAUUUCUCAACUCUUUCAAGCUGACUAUACUCAUACUUCGAGGCUCGAUAUCCGACCUGAUCAUCCUCGAAAUUUCUGAAUCUUAUUGUCUUGAAGUAGUCUUGAUCAUUAGAAUUCUUGUUGCUCCAAAUUUGUCCAACUAUGCUAUCAGUAUUAUUGAUUGACCAAAUUGAAGGGAAACUCAAUCUCAAUCUAAUUGAACAAUCACCAACAUGAGUCAUGUCAAUGAAAUGACAAGCAACUACAAACAAUGCAUUUUUCUUCUCAUUCCACCAACCUUCACCUACCAACAUAGUUUUUGGAUUGAAACCUUUGUCAAUCCAAUAAUCACUUACAUUUGAAAACCUCAUCAUAACCCUCAACCUAUGCUUAUUGUCAUGUGAACAUUCAACACCUUUCAAAGACAUCAUAUAUGGUAAUUGACUAGAACUUCCACUAAUAGGACUACAAUUCUUUGAAGAAUUGCACUCAUGAGUGAAUUCUAAUUGGAGUCUUCUAAUAGCCCUUGAUAGAGGAUAUGAACAAAAAUUCAUUACAUCUGAAUUUAAUGAUAAACCCUUUUGAGAAUCAUCACUACCAAAAGUGAACUCAUUUUCAGCUUCUUUGGAAUCCAACAAAGUAUAACUAUAAUUUGCUUUUGGAAACAUCAUUAAGGAAAUAGGUUCAAAGUAAUGACUCUCAUCUUUUUCAGAACUCAAACUCAUUAAGCUUCCACUAAUCAAACUGGUAAUACUAUUAUUUGAAUUGAAAACAUUGUUAAGCUUAAAAACAACAUCAAAAUUAGGAGAAUCACCUUUUUUAGAAUAACCAAUUCCUGUUCCAACCAUGCAAACUUUUCCUGAAGAUUCAGACCAAAAACCUUCAACCUUAAAAGUCACAUACCUUGUACGGUAAUGAUGUUGUUGAGUCCUAUAACUUGGUUUAUAGCUAAAGUUCCCUGCAUGGUAGUAAACUGUGUUGAGAGUGGUUCUAAAUGAAACAGUUGCUUCAAUUUUAAACAAGUCAGAAUCCAAAGUUGAAUGAAUUUUUGUUUGUGUAAGGUAAAAGGAAUAGUACUUGUUAAAGGGAUUUGGAACAUGGAUGAUUUCAGAACCUCCUGUGAAGUAACCUGUGUGAUAUUCACCAAGAGGGAAAGANNNNNNNNNNNNNNNNNNNNNNNNNNNNAUGGAAGAACAGUGAAGUUUGUAAGAGGAUUGUGAUGAGGAAAAGGAAGAGAAAGUUAGGAGAGUGAAUAGAAAGAAGAACAUGGAAAGAUGACAAUUCAUGAUGACUAUCAUAAAUUUGCUUGUGUUUAUGUAAUCACAAAACAAAGGCAGAUGAAGAUGGAAAGAGUUUACUUCACUGUAUGUGUGUGUGUAUAUAUAUAUAUAUAUAUAUAGAAUGGUUAAUGAGACACUGCUGGCUUAUCUCAAUGGCUAAAAGUCAAACAUGUUCUUUGGAAAAAAAAUUAAAAUAUUAGAAGUUUUCAAAUUUCCACAACCGUGAACAUUAAGGUUGAAUUUUCUUAGCUAUUGUCACAGUUUUUCAUUUCUCAUAAUAAUUUAAGCUCAAAUUUUAACGUUGAUGUGACGACAAAUAAUGUAUAAUUAGUUUGAAUAAUAAUUUUUGAAUUUUGAAAUACUUUUUAUGGUAUCGGUGAUUUUUUAUAUUCAACUCGUUUUGUUUAAUUAAAAAAAAUAGUUGAAUAAAAUGUUAACUAUUUAGAGAUUUGGAUUUGCUUUCAAACAAUGAAGUGGUAGACAACACGUUAGCCGAUGCAAUAAGGAAAAUUUUUGUAUGGUCAUAAAACAUAAGCACAUCAUUUACAUACAUAAAAAAAUUGGAAAAAAAAUUAACGAUGUAUUUUUAAAAAAAUUAUGUAUAUUUUUUUGUAUGUGUCAAAUUAAUUUUUAUUUAAGAUUAUGACGACCUAAGUAAUUCUCUUACAGCCCUAGUUGAAUAAUAAAAAAAUUUAAACUUAAGUGAUCUCUAAGGACUAAAAAUUAUAAAUAUAAAAAAAUCAUCACGGGUGACCUAUGGUGAGCUAUAUGGCCAUGUGGAAUAUUUAAAAUGAGAAAAACUUCAAAGUAUAAAAAGAGAAGGAGAUAGAAGAUUCUUUUUCCUAGGUAUCUUUAAAGUAUAUGAAGUGUUUAAAUAAUACAUCUCAAUAAAUAAUUUUAUCGGAGUAUAUAUUUAAGAUUUAAGAUAAGAUAUUUUAUAAUAUAAUUUAUAUUUAUAAAAAAAUUUAUAGUAUUUUGCAGGAUUUGGUAUUUAUUUUAAGACAUUUAAAAUAUUUUAAAUUGUCUCUCUUAAAUAGUGAAUUACUAUAUGAAUGAGCUAUAGAAAUCAAACACCUAACCAUAUAUAUUGAGAGACAGAGAGAGAGAGAAAAAAAUCAGUAUUGAAGUUACACCAAAAGAUCUGGUAAAAUCUCUUAAUUGAAUUUAUGAUAGUGUGGUCCACCUGAGACAUUUAUUUACCUGUUGUCCACCUUGCUCGAUGUCCAUAUAUAAUGAUGGCUUGGUAGUGGAAGACUUGGAAUUCUAUGUGGUGUAUAAUCUCAAGUCAAUAUACCAAAAAUCACGACGAAGCAAGCAACACUUCUUCAAAGGGUGAAUGAUAGAGUGCACUAGCAAAUUUUAUGCUUCAACGUUAUUAUGAACAAUAAUGACUUGGGUAAUUACAUACCCUCAAAAAUUAUACUUGCUCAUAAUGUAUUAGAUAAUAUACGGAAGAGUCGUAAUUUUAUUAUAUUGUCAUUAAAUAUAGUUGCCUGUUGAUAUUUAUCAAUUUACAAAAUUAGUAUCCAUUUUAAAAGUUAUUUUGGUCAUUCUUUAAGAUUUUUUAACUAAAAAAUGAUAAUAUAAUAUAUUUUAAAUAACGUGACAUAUGAUACAAUGAUAUAUAAUGAUUAGAAUCCUAUAAAAUCGAAAUAAAACACUUAAAAAAUUUAACUUUCAACUUUGAAUUUUUUUAUGUUUUUAAUUUAAUUAAUGACAUAUGAAUAAUUAAUAUAUUUAGAUGAUUUUAUAUCAUAGAAUUGUAAUUUACAUCAUUUAAAAUAUGUUAAAUCGUUAUUUUUUAGUUCAAAAAUAUGAGAGAGAAACAAAAAAAUGUCGACUUUUAAAAUAGAGAAACUAAUUCUAUGAAUUAAUAAAAAUAGAAGGACUAAAAUUAUAGUUAAGUUCAUUCUCAAAUAUUGUUCUCAUUACUUGUGGCAUAGCCAUAAAAGUGAGAUGCUAAGCGGAUUUUAUAUUGAAUACUCGAUUAAUUAAUACUUGUCUUGCAUGAGUCUUGGCUUUCCCACAACCUUGGUUUGUUUGGCAUUACUUAGAUGAUAGUUGAGUGACUUUUGAUCGAGAUGGUGCAGUCCAAAAUUCAAAUGAAAUGGUAGCUUGUGAAUGAGUGGUUGGUAAUCAAAUUGGUGUCUACAGCUUUGGCUACUCCUAUGUCUUAUGGGUGUACGUGCACCAUAUCGAUGGGAGAGCUCUAGGUGGUCCGUUUCACAAAUUUUAUGAAAACUUUUUAAAUAAAAUGUUUGAUUUAUAUGACUUAUACAUAUACCAAUUCACUAACCUUUUUAUAUAUAUAGUACACCGGGCAGUUAUGUAUUGCCGGCCAGUUUCUAUAGGCGUCAUAACCAAAUCCACACUAUUGGAUAUUUUAUAUUGUUUUUAUAAAGACAUUUUAUACUUAUUAUGAUGGAUUGAUCUUUAUCAAAAUAAGUUUAUAAUUUUUAUAAAUAUAUCUUAUUUUAUUUUUUUAUUUUUUUAAAUUUUUUUUAAACCAUCAUCUCUUAAAUACUUUUCAUCAAUGAUUUUGAGUUUCAACUUUAAAUCUAUUCAUUUGUAUCGUUUAAAAUUUUGAAUGAUUUUUUACAUAUAUAUUUAUAAUAUUAUUGAUAAUUUCUUUUAUAAAAAUUUAUAAUUUUUUAACAAAAGAUAAAUUUCGUUUAAAUUUUUUAUAUUAAAUUCAUCUUUUAUUAAAAAAAGUCUAAUUUUUUAUAGAGGAUAUUCUUAUAAUGUUAUUAAUGUAAUUGCAAAAAAUCAUUCAAAAAGUAAAAUGAUACACAUAAAUUUAUUUAAAAAUAAGAAUCAUAAUUAUUUAUGGAAAAUAUUUUAUAACCAUUAUUUAAAGAAGAGAUAUAUAUAUAUAUAUAUAUAUAUAUAUAUAUAUAUAUAUAUAUAAGGAUCAAAUGCUUAUCUAACUUUAAAAUUUAUUAUUAUAAAUUGAUGGGGACGUAGUCUUGUUUUGAUGCCCAUAUAUAAUAUAUAACGAUAGCUACGUUGUGGAAGACUUGGAAAUCUUAAGUCAAUAUAAAAAAACAAAAAACAAAACGCGUAGCAAGUCUUUGUCAAACGGUGAAUGAUUGAUGGAAGUAGCAAAUUUUUUAUAUAUAUUAUAUAAGAAUGCAAAUAAUUUUAUGUGAAAUAUUUCAUAUUCAACAUUUUAAAAUAAUUUAAUGUCUUAAAAGUUUUUCAUGUGACAACAUCUCAAUAUCACAAUAUGUUCGCUACUAAUUUUGCGUCUAUCAUACUUAGUAUAUUUCUUUUACCAAAAAAUGUUACGUACUAUAUUAUUAAAAUUUUAUUAAUAAAUAUUUCUCCAUGCAGUGCAUAUAUCUCACACUAGUAUGGUUCAAUGAUAAAUUAAAAAAAAAAAAUUAUGAACAAUAAUGACUUGGAUAAUUACAUCUUAAUUAGUUCUUAUAAUAUUUUAAAUUGAUAACUAAUUCGAAUUGGAUAGUCGACUUCAUUACUUAAAUAGUGUUUCAUACUUCUUAAUGAUGGUGAUAUCUGCAAAGACUCUAACGUUCAAAUAAGAUAAGAUGAUGAGGAGAGUACUUUAAAGUAAAAUAGGAUGAUGAAGAUAAUAAUACAUAAAAUAAAACGAGAACCUAUGUACAAGAAACCUUAAGAUGUCUGCAGUGAGAUGUUGCAUUGGAUUGGGUCGACAAAUAAAUUCGGAUUGGGCAUAGACUAGUUUGGAACAAUUUCUCCCAAAUCAUUUUAGAAGAGGUGAGACAAUGACUUACGAGAGUUUGUCGAUGUAAGCAACUAUGUCGACUAUGUCGUUUGCAUGGGAGGUAUUGGACUAGCUUUGCAAUGAUGUGACGUUGCUGGAAAUAUGAUAGUAUAAUGAAAUAUCCAUAUUGGUACAUGACUCCCCAUCAAUUGAAUUUGUCCAAAUAAUGAAAGUUUAAAUUCUAAAAACGCUAUAACAAGGGAUAAAACCUAUCCUUUUAAUACAAAUGUUAAUUUUGUGCCUCCAAGCUAAAGUUCUUAUGAUAAAUGUGAGCAAAUCUAAUAUAUGAUACAUUAGUUGAACUUUUUAACGCUAAUAGAAAAAUAUAUAACAGUGUGCGUGAAUAUAUAUAUUUUGGUCCAUGUCAUUUUUUUUUAAUAAUAUUCUUUUAAAUUCUAAAAUAUUUUUAAAAACUUUUUAAUGUAAUUUUUUUAUUUAAAUUUAGUGAGUUAUUAAUAAUAACUUUAAAUGAUGUGACACACGCUGAUGUAAAUAUUAUUUAUUAGGUAAUAAUUAAUUAUUAAAUAUUAUAACUUUAUAUUUACCAUAUUAUUAGCUUGUUUUUUUUUUUACAAAGCCACAUUAUUAACUUAAUUAACGAAGUUUAUUACAAAUAUCACCAUUAUAACAUAUUCAGUCACCAUUUAACAAAAUUAUUAAUCUUUUUAACUUCAUAAUCAUUAAUCUUCAUCUAUGUAUUCAGAAAAUUUUCAAUUUCUAGAAAACCCAAAAUUGUUAUUUUUAGUAAAAAAAUCCAAAAAUCCAUCUUCUUAACCCAAGUUAACAAUCCUUGUCACAACUUUUUUUUUACAUCUUAACCUAGUCAUAAUGCAUUUUUUCCUUUUCAUUUUGCACAUACAUGUUAUCAAGUUUUUAAAAUGUAUUGUAUCAUUCUUGUCUCAAACAAAUAUUUUUUUGGCUAAAUUACAUUUGUGGUCCUUUAAAUUAAUUUCAGGUAACGUUUUAGUCCUUUAUCUUUUUUUUUCUUCCCGAUUUAGUCCUUUAUUCCUAAAAAUAUCAAAUAAAGUAUGAAAAUAUGAGUUUAUUUGAAGAUUUGCGUAACGAAUUUGAUGAAAUUUGUAUUAUAUUGAAGAAUAUAAUUAAUUUUAUGAGUUUUGGUUGAAAUUUUUUUUGAAUUUUUGUAUAAAAAAGGAUAUCAUUGUUGAAAUUUUAAAACAUAAAAUAUCAAAUUGUCACUUAAAAUUAAAAUAAAGGACCAAGUCGAAAAAAAAAAAGAUAAAGGACUAAAACGUUACCUGAAAUUAAGUUAAGGGACCACGAAUGUAAUUUAGCCUUUUUUUUUUGCUGAUUUUUUUACACAAUAAAUAAAGCACACCACUCAAAAGUGUAGUAGAAAAUAAAUAUACAAUAAAUCUUUGAUGGAAAACUACAAACUUAAAGAAGAAAUCAAAACAACUUAUAUAUGAGAAUUAAUUCAAAUGCAACAAAUGUGGAAGGGCAUCACACUAGCAACAAAAGUUUAUGCAUUAACAUCAAUAAAUAUACAACUAAAUCACAAAUUAAACAUAUAAGAAAUCAAAGAAAUAAUGGUGAAGAAAUUGGCAAAUAUUGUUGUUGUUCAAUGGUUUAUCUAUCAUAUAUCAGAAACGGGAUCGACACAAAGAAAUAACGUCAAAGAGAGAGUAGAAGAGUAGAGAAGAAAUCAAUUUGGGGGUUAGAGUUUCGACAUCACAGUCUUCCUUCAAUUUAAGGGUUAUGGUUCUGACAUCGUAAUCUUCUUCAAUUUAGGGGUUAGGGUUCAAUUGAAGUAUUUAAGAACUGAAGAAGAUAAAAAAUAACGAAUGGAGAACAAAGUAUAGUUGAGGGGAUACAAAGCUCAAAUGUAUUUAUUGGUUUGAGUUUUUGAAGAUUGGUUGCGUGGAUGUAGGAAAAUUUCUGGGAUUCUAAGUUGAAGAUGAGUUUCUAGUUGUUAGUUUUUAAAACAUUUUAGAAUUUGCAAGGGUGUUAUUAAAAAAAUUACAAGGACCAAAAUCAAAAUCACUCUUAUGUGUAGGAUCAAAAAUAUAUUUAAGCCAUUUUUUAAAUCAUAUUUAAUCUAAAUAAUUAAGAUUGAAUAGUUGAAUCGUGAAAAUUAUAAUUUCUAAGUUAUAGUGAAUCUAAUUUAUUAAUAUUGAAUAAUUGGAUUGUUGAAACUUUAAUUUAUAAGUUUAAAUUUCGAUGAUUCAAUAAUUAAAUCUAAAUUAAUUAGAUUAAAUAUAACUUAGAAAUUAUAAUUUCAACUAUGUGACAAUUCAAUCUUAAAUAAUUAGACUAACUAUAACUUUGAAAUUAUAUUUUCUUGAGGCAGAAUUCCUAAAUUAAUAUUUUGAAGAUAAUUAAACAUUCAAUUAUAUUUAUUAAUUACGAUUAUGAUCUUAUUAAAUAUUUACUUGUGUUUUUUAGUGUAUUUAUUUAGCCCAUAAAAAAAAAAUUAAUUCAUGAUAUGUUGAAGUAUGCAUAUUCAUAUAAGAUCACAUGAUCAUUAUUCAAACAAUUAAGAUUGAUUUCAUCAUCAAAUCUGGAGUCAUCCCAUGUACAUAUCAAUACAAGAAUACACUUUUAUGAAGUAUGAAAUGAUUUGAAAGAUUCCACAAAGGAAUGUCAAAACUAGAUUGAUGAUGCAAUGACUGCAUAACUUUAAAUAAAAUACAAAAGAAAAACGAAUCAUUUUUAGGAUCACAAAAAUUUUAUCCUGGAUUGAAGUAAUUCGCACAUGGGCCACCUAAAAGUAAACAACCCUUAAGAAGUCAAAUAGUGAAGAUCCGCAUGCAAAAAACUCAUGCAGAUUAAUAUGUAGUUUUUAUUUCUAGAUUCAUUAACUGAAAGCAAGUACUAAACCCUCAAGUGCAUUGCAAAAAUAUUGUUGACAUGACAUAUGUGCAUGCUUCUGACUCAACUAUGUCCCAACGAACAUAUUCGGCAUUCGCGCCCAAGUUUCCUUCAAGUAUCAAGAAAUAACGUUAUAGGUUUGAACAAGAACAUUAUGGACAAAAUUGCAUAUAAGAAGAUUGUUUAAAAAAAAGAACAAUUGAGUAUUGGCAAGACUGUCCAAAGACUAUAUUUAGAUUAAAAUGGAUAUUUUAAGCAUUUCUUCAUCUAUAAAAUGAAGAUCAAUUAAAAGAUGAAUGUAAGAGUUCAAUUAACAAUCUAAUCCUAGCAAAGAUAAGAAAGUAUAUAAAAGAUGACAUGUAAUCCUAGCAAUAAUUACAUAAAACUAUAUAUGCAAUUAUGUUCAGCCAUAGUAAGUUUUAACUACUUAAUAAUUAGUGUAAAAAAAGAACCUGCAUGAAGUUAGAUGUAAAAAGCCUUUAGUAUCAUAGUCUCAAAAUUGGAUUUUUUUUAAAAAAAAGUCCCUUGAUCACUCAUGUCAUGUAGUAGUAGCUGGCAGCGAGAUGAAUUUCUCACAGCCCUUAACCCCAAUUCUUUCAAACUCUUUGACAAGAGGAUUCACAUAUCCAACUAAACCAGAUUUAAAUUUAUUGGAGCAGCUUUUGUCACCCUCAUCAACAUCUUGAACUCCCCCUUUCACCAAACAACCAACUUGAGCACCUUCCAUGUAUGCUUUACAUGCCACCAGAAUAUCAUGUGCUCUGCUGUAGAAAUGCCCCACAACUAAGUCCUCAAAAUGCUGAAACAAAGAAUGAUUCGAAAUAAAUUGUUUGCGUAAAAAAAAAGUUACAGGUUUUCAAUCAUAUAUCACCACGUAGAUAUUUGUGUUACAGUAAUUAUUUGUAAAAUAAUAUUAUGACAUAAUACUACGGCUCUAAAAGUUUAAAUUUGUUUCCAACAUUUUUAUUAUUUUAUUAUUUCCUUUGAAGGAAAUUGCAUGCAUUGUCGGUAUAAAUCAGUUUUACACUAAUACAAAUCAAUUUUACAUUGACAUCAAAUAAGUGUCUAUUGUUUUGCCACACUAACCUACUUUUUAAGAGUGUAUUUUGAAAUUGAUUGUAUGAAGUGGCAAAAUAGUGAAUUUUCUUGAAUGUCUGUGUAAAACUAAUUUACAUUGUCAAUGCAUGUCCCUAUGUGCUACAAACAAGAGGACUUGUGGAAAAGCAAACUUGCUAGAGAUAUAAAAGAAAUGAACCAAGAGUAGAACAAAACCUUUCGAGGCUUUCUUAUAGUAUACAUCAUUGUGUUCAAUGAUAGAAGGAAUGUAUCCUCAUUAUACUGCAGGGCUUUCCUUUCGCCAUUUGCCGAGCCACUCAUAUUUGCAAAUCCAGGUUCAUUGAAGAAAGGCUUUGCAUUCAAGAUUAGACCUUGUAUUGAAACGAGAACUUGUAGAAUUGUCGAAACACCAGGAGUCCAUUUCUCAUUUGGGCCGCCAGACCAGGUGUUAAGUAAACUGAGGCAUACUUUACCGCACGCAUACAAAUUCGGAUUGAGACGAAGACCUCUAGAGUGGUAGUGGACUAGCUGCCACGAAUUUAAAAAGAAAAAACCUUUUGUCAGAAUUGAAUUAAAAGAGUGAACAAGAAAAUAAUGUUGGUCAGAUAAAGUAUCCUCAACUGCAUACCGGGGGUACAUUGGGAUAGCCACUUGGAAAGUGGAUAUCGAAAAAGAAAAGACCAUCGUGAUAAGGAGUCCCUUCUGCUCCAAUAAUCACUGCCCUCAAGAGAUCCAUCCUUGAUUCAUAGACUCUCACAAAUAUUGUAUCUGAUGAGCAUUAAAGAAAAAGUCAAAGAAAUGCUCAGUUUGAAAAAGUAAAUUGAAUACUAAGUGUGAUAAUGUGAUAUGCCGUGGAAAAUAUUACAAGCUAUUCUGUACCAUGGAAUACUAAACUCACCUGGCAAAUCCUUCUCCAAAAUCUUCCACUCUUCUUGGAUUUUCUUAGCCCAACUCUUUGGAUUCUGCUCAGGAAAUAGGUGACAUGUGAAUACAUAUAUUUAAGACUAUAACGGAAGCAAAGUGCGU